rnacentral:piRNA from 1 species
UGAAGUGAACCUGAGCAAUUCCAUGUGGA